rnacentral:rRNA from 1 species
AUUGAACGCUGGCGGCAUGCCUUACACAUGCAAGUCGAACGGCAGCACGGGGCAACCUGGUGGCGAGUGGCGAACGGGUGAGUAAUGCAUCGGAACGUACCUUUCAGUGGGGGAUAACGUAGCGAAAGUUACGCUAAUACCGCAUAUUCUGUGAGCAGGAAAGCAGGGGAUCGCAAGACCUUGCGCUGAUUGAGCGGCCGAUGUCAGAUUAGCUAGUUGGUGAGGUAAAGGCUCACCAAGGCGACGAGCUGUAGCGGGUCUGAGAGGAUGAUCCGCCACACUGGAACGGAGACACGGUCCAGACCCCUACGGGAGGCAGCAGGGGGGAAUUUUGGACAAUGGGGGCAACCCUGAUCCGGCCAUGCCGCGUGAGUGAAGAAGGCCUUCGGGUUGUAAAGCUCUUUCGGCCGGGAAGAAAUCGCACGGGCUAAUACCCUGUGUGGAUGACGGUACCGGAAUAAGAAGCACCGGCUAACUACGUGCCAGCCGCCGCAGUAA